rnacentral:rRNA from 1 species
UGGCGAACGGGUGAGUAACACGUGAGCAACCUGCCCGACAAACCGGGAUAACAGCGGGAAACUGCUGCUAAUACCGGAUACACCAGGUAUGGCGCAUGCUGUAUCUGGGAAAGGGUUUACCGAUGUCGGAUGGGCUCGCGUCCCAUUAGCUAGUUGGUGAGGUAACGGCUCACCAAGGCGACGAUGGGUAGCUGGUCUGAGAGGACGAUCAGCCACACUGGAACUGAGACACGGUCCAGACUCCUACGGGAGGCAGCAGUGGGGAAUCUUGCACAAUGGGCGAAAGCCUGAUGCAGCGACGCCGCGUGGAGGAUGAAGGCCUUCGGGUCGUAAACUCCUGUCUGGGGGGAUGAACACUGACAGUACCCCCGGAGGAAGCCCCGGCUAACUACGUGCCAGCAGCCGCGGUAAUACGUAGGGGGCGAGCGUUGUCCGGAAUUACUGGGCGUAAA